GAUAAUAUAUGUCUGAAACUAUGAAUCACAAGACAUGUAAGUUGUAGAGAUCCAACCAUCAUGAAUCUUAGCAAGCUAGAGGGAGCUAUAAGCAUCUUAUGAGAGAAAGAUCAAAUCGUUUGAUUUCUCAUAAAGAUGUAAAUGAAUCUUUUGUUUACUAGGUUUACAAAAGAUUAGUGGGAGUUAAUCAUGUUCCUAAAUUUGAAUAUAUUUAUAUAUAUAUACACACAUAUAUGAUAUAUUAAUUUUGGAAAUGAAAAGAAUACUUCUUCGUUAAAGUUAUGACUUUAAACAUUCUAUAACGAUAGAAUGUAUAUGGGAGACAUAGUCUAUAAACAUGGGAUGGAAAUCUAUAAUUAUAGAUUUCAAGAUAUAAUUAGAUUAUAUCAAGCCCUAAUGAUAGACAAAAGCUGCUAGGAAUUUUCUCAUAUGAAGAUAAACUUCAAUCACAAGGACAACUCUAGUGAGACUAGGAAGUUGCUCUUCUCAAAGGGAACGUACCCUUUUGACUCCUAAAGAAACAUAAUGCAUAAAUAGAAUCCUUUAUGCAUACGCAGAAAGGUGAUUGACGUAUUUCAUAUUGUAUGAAAAACAUUUAUAUGAGUUGUACCUAGAACGGUACAAGACGAUAUCAGUGCAAGCCCAGGAUCACAACCAUGGCAAUUGUCAACUGAGUCCUUAAGUAUUUAAGAAAUACUAAAGGAUAUAAUCCUCAAAGAAUGAGGAAGAAUUAGAGUAACGUAAUGGAAGCGUAAAUGUAUUAGAUUAUGAAUCUAAUCCAUCAUUGGAUGUUUCUUCAUUAUGAAUGAAAAGAUAAUUAGAUAUCUUUUUAUUAUGAGUAAAGAGAUAUUUGGAUGGAAACAUUAAAAGUAAUGAAUUUAGUGUGUUCCAUUGUGAAUGCAAAAUAUAUUGCCAUAUAGAAGCUUACAACAAUGUUGUUUGGAAGGGAAAGUUCAUUUAUGAACUCUCUAUUCGGUUCCAACCAGAAAGUGUCUCCAGUGUACCGACACUAUAACACUAAUGGGGCGAUAGCUCAAGCCAGGGAAUCAAGGUCUCAUCAAGAUCUGAACUCAAAUGAGAGACUAAACCACAUGAUUGAGAAUCAUGUAUAAUGGUGACGUCGUUAUUCUCAAGGUUGCUUCUGUGGUUAACAUAUAGAAAUCCAUUGUCUAGGCCUACUACUCAACCAUUUUUGAAAUGACUACAGAAGAUGUAUCAUCACUCAUAACCAAGCUGAUUGGCUCUAGUGCAAGUGGGAGAUUGUUGGAAAUGUGCCAUAAAACCAAUCUUAUGAUGAUACUUUAUGGACAUUUCACAUGUUAAACUAAUAUAGUUUAAUAUAAUGGGCAAAGAUUAUUGUUUGAAGCCGUCUCAUAUAAAUGUUAUACGCUUAAACGAUAAGUCCAAGGAAUAUGUAAUUGGGGGAAUACGAUCUAAAGAAGUUAGAUUCAUAAGACUAUUCUCUUUCGUAUACAUAUCCUAAACGUUCCUGAUCAUAGGAUUGCCA
rnacentral:lncRNA from 1 species